GGGACUUUAGCUCAGUUGGUAGAGCAGUGGAUUGAAAAUCCAUGUGUCCCCAGUUCAAUUCUGGGAAGUCCCA
rnacentral:tRNA from 1 species